UCCGAUUCCUACGGGAGGCAGCAGUGGGGAAUCUUGCACAAUGGGCGAAAGCCUGAUGCAGCGACGCCGCGUGGGGGAUGAAGCUUUUCGGAGUGUAAACCCCUUUCGACCCGGACGAAUGCCCCGCAAGGGGACUGACGGUACGGGUAUAAGAAGCCCCGGCUAACUACGUGCCAGCAGCCGCGGUAAGACGUAGGGGGCCAGCGUUGCUCGGAAUUACUGGGUGUAAAGGGUUCGUAGGCGGUGUGGCAAGUCGGGAGUGAAAUCUCUGGGCUCAACCCAGAGGCUGCUUCCGAAACUGCCGUGCUUGAGUGUGGGAGAGGCGCGUGGAAUUGCAGGUGUAGCGGUGAAAUGCGUAGAUAUCAGCAGGAACACCCGUGGCGAAAGCGGCGCGCUGGACCACAACCGACGCUGAGGAACGAAAGCUAGGGGAGCAAACAGGAUUAGAUACCCUGGUAGUCCUAGCCCUAAACGAUCAGGACUUGGGGUGCUUCACGUUCGUGGAGCGUCCCGGAGCUAACGCGUUAAGUCCUGCACCUGGGGAGUACGGUCGCAAGACUGAAACUCAAAGGAAUUGACGGGGGCCCGCACAAGCGGUGGAACAUGUGGUUCAAUUCGACGCUACGCGAGGAACCUUACCUGGGCUCGAAGCGCACUUGACUAGCUAUAGAAAUAUGGCCUUCCCGCAAGGGACAAGUGUGGAGGCGCUGCAUGGCUGUCGUCAGCUCGUGCCGUGAGGUGUUGGGUUAAGUCCCGCAACGAGCGCAACCCCUGCACGUAGUUGCCACUCCGCAAGGAGGGAACUCUACGUGGACUGCUCCGGAUAACGGAGAGGAAGGUGGGGAUGACGUCAAGUCCGCAUGGCCUUUAUGUCCAGGGCUACACACGUGUUACAAUGCAGGGCACAAACCGUUGCCAACCCGUGAGGGGGAGCUAAUCGGAAAAAACUCUGCUCAGUUCGGAUUGCAGUCUGCAACUCGACUGCAUGAAGCCGGAAUCGCUAGUAAUGGCGUAUCAGAUCGACGCCGUGAAUACGUUCCCGGGCCUUGUACACA
rnacentral:rRNA from 1 species